rnacentral:rRNA from 1 species
CCUACGGGAGGCAGCAGUGGGGAAUAUUGGGCAAUGGAGGAAACUCUGACCCAGCAAUGCCGCGUGAAUGAAGCAGGUCUUCGGAUUUUAAAGUUCUUUAGUCAGGGAAGAAUAAACUGACGCUACCUGAAGAAUAAGCUCCUGCCGACUUCGCGCCAGCAGCCGCGGUAAUACGUAGGGAGCAAGCGUUGUUCGGAAUUAAUGGGCGUAAAGGGUGCGUAGGCGGUUAUACAAGUUAGAAGUGAAAUAGCAAAGGCUUAACUCCGGUACUGCUUCUGAAACUGGAGGGCUUGAGUGCAGUAGAGGUUAAGGGAAUUCCUGGUGUAGCGGUGGAAUGCGUAGAUAGUAGGAGGAACAUCAGAGGCGAAAGCGCGUAACUGGACUGCAACUGACGCUGAGGAACGAAAGUGAGGGGAGCAAACAGGAUUAGAUACCCUAGUAGUC